AGCUGGAGGGUGACGCGGUCUGGCCUCCCUGUUGGGAAGAGCCAGUGCGGUGUGUGGAAGAGCCUGAGACAGAAGCCUGAGAAGACUCUUACCAGAAUGGAGGAGAGGAAGGAAGGCGUUCUAGACCAGGGUAAUAGAGCUGAAAAUGUGGUUUUAAUUAUAGCACUAAUGAAAACUGAAAAUCCAGACAGACACUUGACGAACUCUGCUGCGCUUUAUAUUACAUUUGUGCUAACUACAAAGUGCCCAGCUGGGUGUAACAUUAUCCCGCUUCCUCGGGCAUCCGCCUGACUGAAGCUGUGUAAUUGAUGUGGACUUUGGCAGGAGACAAGAGGCCUUUGGGUUGCAAUCUGAAGGUGGACCAGGCAGUGGAUUGUGAAGGCGAUUGGGCAAAGAGCCAUGAAGACCUGUUGUUGCUGCCCUUUGAGCCCUGAGAUGAUCUCCUCCCUUCCUGGAUAGGUUGGGGAGCCCCACAUGAGACUGGAAACAGGGCUGACCCACGUGCGGAGCCCUCAGUGCAAAGUCCUCUCUGCUCCCCAAGCCUGCAAUCCCAGCCGCAGCCCCGGGGCCUGGAAACUCCGGCCGAUUUAUUAAAGCGUCCUCCCUGUCUGCCACCAUCAGGCUAGAAUUGUUCCGAACAAAAGAAGCAUGAAUUGCUGGAAACUAUAUAUUAAAUGCAAGACUAUUUGUCUAGUUUUCAUUGGGUGCUGAGUGAAGAGCCUCAACUCCUCGUAUUCCCAUGGUACUCAGAUGUCCGCGGAGUCCGCUGCUCCUCACACUGUCAUUUCUCUCACUGGGCACAAUCCGGCUUUAAAGAAUCCGACACUUACUGGUCUUUAUGGAACUGUCAGCAGUGACAGCAACCAGGGACACUGCCAUGUCUUGCUGUUUACAAAGGAUGAGCACAACAAGGCAUCUCGAUGACUUGAUAAGCCCUGAGCUCCUCUCUCCCCAACUCUGGCCUCUCUGGACCAGCGGCCUUUGCAUGGCCAGCUAAAGACACAAGAAUUAAAACUUGAUCCAAACACUAACAAGUCUGCAACCACGGCCAUGAAGAUAAAGUAGGGCUGCUCAAGGUUGCUUGGUAAACAGCGAAAACAGAGAAACAGGAGGAUCCUUAUAUGCACAGGUUAUUUUUCUUUCAGUAUACUUAAAAUUUAGUGGAAAGAAAUCCUAGGCUAGCAUUAAAUUCAUAGAUUAUUAUUAUGGUCUUGAAUAGUUCAUCUUGUUUUCUCACUCUGACACUCCUUCACUUCUUUAGAAAUUCCAGCCAAUAAUGUUGUAGCUAAAUUAAGAUCAAAGUUUUUCUUUUUAUUUUAGGGGGUUGAAGGCUGAUCAGGGGAGCACAGGCUUAGCAUGCACAAGGCCCUGCUUCAGUUCCUGCAGUCUGCACCCCAAAAGAGCUUUUAAAAAAAGUUUUCUGAACCUACUAAUUUUUAUUUAGGGAAUUUAGGUAUGUCUUGGAAAUUAUAUAAAUGUAUGUGCUUUUCUCUUUCUGGCAUGCUAAGUUACGGUAGCCUUGGAAGUUGAAACUCUGUCCCCCUUUCCUUUUAUUGUUUUUCAACAUUGAACACAUGGAAGAAGAAAGGAAACUUUCACAUGCUUAUGUUGCACUGGUUCAAUGGUUUUGUUAAGUCUCACACACACAUCUCAUAGCUCUACCAACUGCAUAGGGUUUAAGAAUAUUGUCUUUCUUCAAUUCUAGGACAGGUUGGGCCAAUGGUGUU